rnacentral:rRNA from 1 species
GACGAACCGAGCGAACGUUGUUCGGAAUCACUGGGCUUAAAGGGCGCGUAGGCGGAUCAGCAAGUCCGGGGUGAAAUCUUUCGGCUCAACCGGAAAAGGGCCUUGGAUACUGCUGGUCUGGAGGGAGGUAGGGGCAGCUGGAACUUCCGGUGGAGCGGUGAAAUGCGUUGAUAUCGGAAGGAACUCCGGUGGCGAAGGCGAGCGGCUGGACCUCUUCUGACGCUGAGGCGCGAAAGCUAGGGGAGAAAAUGGG